CCGAGAAGUUUCAGGUUGGUGGCGUGAGAUCCUGCCAAGUGUCCAUCACAGCUGCAGCUUAAGGAAAAGCUGACAGGGAAAAAAGAUGAGACAUAAUGGAACAGAGAUAAAUCUUUAACACAGGAGAUGUAACCUCUACUGACAGAGUCCAGAACUCAGAUGGAGCUACUGAAAUCCCUUUCUGAUGAAAUACCAUUUUCCCUUUCUUCAGACAACAAACACACCCUUGUCUGACCAAGAAGAGCUGUCAGUGAACAUACAAUGUAUCAUUUA